UUUCUAUUUUGUUCAUUUUUA
rnacentral:piRNA from 1 species